GACGAAAGCUGGCGGCGUGCCUAAUACAUGCAAGUCGAGCGGAACUGGGGGAGCUUGCUCCUUCCAGUUUAGCGGCGGACGGGUGAGUAACACGUGGGCAACCUGCCCUGCAGAUCGGGAUAACUCCGGGAAACCGGUGCUAAUACCGAAUAGUUUGGCGCCUCUCCUGAGGCGCUACGGAAAGCCCGUUUCGGCUGUCACUGCAGGAUGCGCCCGCGGCGCAGUAGCUAGUUGGUGGGGUAACGGCCCACCAAGGCGACGAUGCGUAGCCGACCUGAGAGGGUGACCGGCCACACUGGGACUGAGACACGGCCCAGACUCCUACGGGAGGCAGCAGUAGGGAAUCUUCCGCAAUGGACGCAAGUCUGACGGAGCAACGCCGCGUGAGUGACGAAGGUUUUCGGAUCGUAAAACUCUGUUGUGAGGGAAGAACACGUACCAACUAACUAUUGGUACCUUGACGGUACCUCACCAGAAAGCCACGGCUAACUACGUGCCAGCAGCCGCCGUAA
rnacentral:rRNA from 1 species